rnacentral:lncRNA from 1 species
AUGUUUUAUGUUAUAUUUCAUACUAACAAAUCUAUUAAGGUGUUAUUAGUAAUAGAAGAUAACUAUUUUGUUUAUUUUAAUAACUUGUUUUUAAUUAUUUUCCCAAUUCUAGAAUCUCUCCUCAGAUAUAUGAAAUACACUAACUUUAUAACUAAUAGCCUGACAACUAGAUUCACCAACAGUAAAUAACAUACUUAGGAGUGAACUCAAAAGUUAUCCUUUGGUGGUUCGUGGAAUGAAUUAAUGAAAGUAUGCAGCUGGAACAGCAUCUGUGAAAAUGAGAGGUACAUUCAUUUGCUUUGCCCUUUCUUUGAUUUACUUACUUUAAUUCAGUAAUUUAUAAAAUAUUAAUUUCUCAGUAUACAUAAUAGAAUUGUUAUCUUUCAAAGAAACCUAAUUAACUUUAAAAAACAUCAUAUUAGAAGACAAAAGUCUAAGAGAUGGUAUAAGUUCUGAGAUGUAUGUACUCCCCACUGUACUACAGUUAUUUUCAUUACCAUUAUGCACUUUUAAUAAAUCCUUAUUUUCUUAUGUGUUUUUAAUGAUUUUAACAGAGUAAACUUACUUUAAAAGGCAGUUUGCAUUUUUCAAUUACUAUGGAACAUUGUUUCACCAAAUACUAACUGAAGUUAGGCAAUCAGUUUCUAGGCAGAGAUCUGCAGUGUGAACGGGCUGACUACAUUGACUCACUAAAAUAGGAUUUGGGUAACCAAUUCAAACAAGAGUAACCUUUCCAGGACGACUAAAGGGAAAAGCAAUGUGGGAUAAAUUCACCUCUGAAUUUUUCACAUUUUUGCACACGCGACUGAUGUAUGUAUUAUCCUGAAGUUCUCCUAGUGUCUGCUUUUUAUGGAAAUAUUUGUUCUGCUCUACUUUGUGGUAGAAGGAAACUGGAACCCAAGUGCUCCAUUGAGGGGAAGGUAUUUCCCAUGUGAGUGCCGACUUGCUCAUGUGACUUUUUCACUUUGUUUAUGUAUUUAUGGUAGGGAUCACAAGUAGAAGGUAUUGGCCCUUUGAAGAAUGAACACUGCUGUUACCCUCCAUUUCCUAUAAGAUGUCACAGCUGUGACAAGGAAGGGUUUAUAAUGGCACAGUUCGGUGCCUUCAUAAUUUAUUCUUUCUGAUUUUAUGCUCUUUUAGUCUCCUGCUCAACCAUCCACUAACAAGCAGUGAUAUUAGCCAAUAAAUCAAAGACGUCUGCUUGUCACCACCAGAUGCUUGGCCACAUCGCCACCGAUUAUGAGACAUACAAAAGGACAAUUUCAUGUAGGGAGCUCAGCAGAGGUGUUCCACUGAUAUUCUGUUUGAUAGAAAACUAGUUUGAGGUGAAUGUAGUAAAAUUCAAAAACUAUUAUGCCUUGCAGCAAUGAAGAACUAAGUGGAAAUGAAAUUGGAAAGUAAAUUAGGAUCUCACCUUUAUGAUUAUUCCUUUUAAGAUUCUAAAUCUCUCCCUUUGUCACUUUGAUACAAGUUAAAGAAGAAAUAUCUUAAUAUACUCUGUUUAUUUUUCUAGGUUUAAGAAUUUAUCUCUCUUUUCUAAAAGCACCAAAUAAGACAUUUAUAUCCAUCUAUUAAAUAUACUUAUUAAGACGUAUUAUUUCUAAACAAAUAUAAUUUGUUUGAAUUGUAGUCAAUUGUAGUACAACAAUAAUAUGAUUUUAUUUUUUCAUUAAUAUUAAGACCUACUGUAACCUAAUUAAAACCAUCUAUUAGGUAUUAAUUGCUUAUAUAUUCUUUUGUUUCAUUAUUGAAAUUACUGAUACACCAUAAUGUACAUAGACCUUUCUCUGUGGUAUAAACAAGAACAAUAACAGCAUACUAAAUGUAUAGAGUUCAAAUAACUAUGCCCAAUAUUUUAGGAAAUUCUCCUCAGCAUACUGUUAAAUUUUUAAAAGAAGACAAGAAGUUUAUAUUUUUUCUUUAAAUUAAAGUAGAAAAGCAAUGUCCAACUGGCUUCAUUUUAAUA